rnacentral:lncRNA from 1 species
CGGGUUUCUCUUUUAGUUAGUUUGUUCUUUUAUACUUUGAGCACGUUUUUGGUUUUAGUGUAAGGGAUGUUAAUCAAAAUUUUUAUUACGCUUCCGCAUUUGACCUUUUUAAUACACAUAUUUCAUUUUAAAAUUCCGGGGCCAUUGCAGUUGGUAUCAGAGCCGCGUUUCCUCGGAUCCAUCCCUUACACAAUAGUGCCUUAGAGAAAUACUCACCGAUAGAUCGUUUACUCAACCAUUCCUUGUGAAUGCAGGUACACAGAAAUGAGGAGAGGAAGGCCCCCACUAAUCCGAGUGGCCCAAGAUAAUUCGCUUCGGGAGGAUUUAAACAGACUAUUUGAUAUGGUGGAAGCUCUCGUAGCUACCCAGCAAAGGCGAGAGGAGAAAAGGGAGUUACCCGGACCUCCUCCGCUAUCGCAGGUUGAGCCCCCGCUACAGCAGGCUGAUCCCGAGCCACCCCGGCAGGAGCCUGCUCCUCCACAGUACCACCCGGCACCACAGCCGCGGUAC